GUCUGCGUAGCUCAGUAGGAUAGAGCACAGGAUUCCUAAUCCUGGGGCCGCAGGUUCGAAUCCUGCCGUAGACACCA
rnacentral:tRNA from 1 species